rnacentral:rRNA from 1 species
AAAUUGAAGAGUUUGAUCAUGGCUCAGAUUGAACGCUGGCGGCAGGCCUAACACAUGCAAGUCGAGCGGAAACGAGUUAUCUGAACCUUCGGGGAACGAUAACGGCGUCGAGCGGCGGACGGGUGAGUAA